rnacentral:lncRNA from 1 species
GCUUUUUAGCUUCCGCCCAGAACAAGGGCUGGGCUGACUAGAGAAAGCCGAAGAGCCUUCUUCCUCCCAAUAAUUCCCCUUUACAAAGGUUAGCCCCUUUUCUCCACGUGAGGAAACGGAGGCGGGCAGAGGUUGAGAAACUUUCUCCAGCCUUUAUGGUUCUUCUGCACUGGAAAUGAUACCUAGUAUCCAUUCUAAGACAGACAUAGCUAAGAAAAUAGGAAAAGACCAAAAGUGUGCCAGCAUUUUAGAAUUGUGACAGUGUAAAGAAACGAAUGAUCUGCUCUGAACAGGGCCUACUGACCUGCU